AUUGAACGCUGGCGGCGUGCUUUACACAUGCAAGUCGAACGGCAUCACGGGUGCUUGCACCUGGUGGCGAGUGGCGAACGGGUGAGUAAUACAUCGAGACGUACCAAGUAGAGGGGGAUAACUAAUCGAAAGAUUAGCUAAUACCGCAUAAUCUCUGAGGAGGAAAGGUGGGGACCAGCAAUGGCCUGUCGUUACUUGAGCGGUCGAUGGUUGAUUAGCUAGUUGGUGGGGUAAGAGCUUACCGAGGCGAUGAUCGAUAGCUGUUCUGAGAGGAAGAUCAGCCACACUGGGACUGAGACACGGCCCAGACUCCUACGGGAGGCAGCAGUGGGGAAUAUUGGACAAUGGGGGCAACCCUGAUCCAGCAACGCCGCGUGAAUGAAGAAGGCCUC
rnacentral:rRNA from 1 species